rnacentral:rRNA from 1 species
GGCGGCGUGCUUAACACAUGCAAGUCGAGCGGAAAGGCCCUUCGGGGGUACUCGAGCGGCGAACGGGUGAGUAACACGUGAGCAACCUGCCCCUGACUCUGGGAUAAGCCCGGGAAACUGGGUCUAAUACCGGAUACGACCGCCCCCGGCAUCGGGUGGUGGUGGAAAGUUUUUUCGGUUGGGGAUGGGCUCGCGGCCUAUCAGCUUGUUGGUGGGGUAGUGGCCUACCAAGGCGACGACGGGUAGCCGGCCUGAGAGGGCGACCGGCCACACUGGGACUGAGACACGGCCCAGACUCCUACGGGAGGCAGCAGUGGGGAAUAUUGCGCAAUGGGCGGAAGCCUGACGCAGCGACGCCGCGUGGGGGAUGACGGCCUUCGGGUUGUAAACCUCUUUCAGCAGGGACGAAGUUGACGUGUACCUGCAGAAGAAGCGCCGGCUAACUACGUGCCAGCAGCCGCGGUAAUACGUAGGGCGCAAGCGUUGUCCGGAAUUAUUGGGCGUAAAGAGCUCGUAGGUGGCUGGUCGCGUCUGCCGUGAAAGCCCGCAGCUUAACUGCGGGUCUGCGGUGGAUACGGGCCGGCUAGAGGUAGGUAGGGGCAAGUGGAAUUCCUGGUGUAGCGGUGAAAUGCGCAGAUAUCAGGAGGAACACCGGUGGCGAAGGCGGCUUGCUGGGCCUUACCUGACGCUGAGGAGCGAAAGCGUGGGGAGCGAACAGGAUUAGAUACCCUGGUAGUCCACGCUGUAAACGUUGGGCGCUAGGUGUGGGGAUCUUCCACGAUCUCCGUGCCGGAGCUAACGCAUUAAGCGCCCCGCCUGGGGAGUACGGCCGC